GACAUACUAAGAACUUUCCAGAGAUGGAUGGUGCCUUCGGGAACUUAGAUACAGGUGCUGCAUGGCUGUCGUCAGCUCGUGUCGUGAGAUGUUGGGUUAAGUCCGCAACGAGCGCAACCCUUUUCCUUAUUUGCCAGCGGGUAAUGCCGGGAACUUUAAGGAUACUGCCAGUGACAAACUGGAGGAAGGCGGGGACGACGUCAAGUCAUCAUGGCCCUUACGGCCAGGGCUACACACGUGCUACAAUGGUCGGUACAAAGGGUUGCUACCUCGCGAGAGGAUGCUAAUCUCAAAAAGCCGAUCGUAGUCCGGAUCGCAGUCUGCAACUCGACUGCGUGAAGUCGGAAUCGCUAGUAAUCGCGGAUCAGAAUGCCGCGGUGAAUACGUUCCCGGGCCUUGUACACACCGCCCGUCACACCAUGGGAGUUUGUUGCACCAGAAGUAGGUAGUCUAACCGCAAGGAGGACGCUUACCACGGUGUGGCCGAUGACUGGGGUGAAGUCGUAACAAGGUAGGCGUAGAUGA
rnacentral:rRNA from 1 species